ACUCCUACGGGAGGCAGCAGUAGGGAAUUUUUCGCAAUGGACGCAAGUCUGACGAAGCAAUGCCGCGUGAGGGAUGAAGGUUUUCGGAUUGUAAACCUCUGUUAUAAGGGAAGAAAACCUGAUAUAGGAAAUGAUAUCAGCUUGACGGUACCUUAUCAGAAAGGGACGGCUAACUACGUGCCAGCAGCCGCGGUAAUACGUAGGUCCCGAGCGUUAUCCGGAAUUAUUGGGCGUAAAGAGCAUGUAGGCGGUUUAUUAAGUCUGGUGUGAAAGCUAGUGGCUCAACCACUAAAUUGCAUUGGAUACUGGUAAACUAGAAUACUGGAGGGGCAAGUGGAAUUCCAUGUGUAGCGGUGGAAUGCGUAGAUAUAUGGAGGAACACCAAUGGCGAAGGCAGCUUGCUGGACAGUAAUUGACGCUGAGAUGCGAAAGCGUGGGUAGCAAACAGGAUUAGAUACCCUGGUAGA
rnacentral:rRNA from 1 species